rnacentral:rRNA from 1 species
GAUCCUGGCUCAGGAUGAACGCUGGCGGCGUGCCUAACACAUGCAAGUCGAGCGAAGCACUUUGCUUAGAUUCUUCGGAUGAAGAGGAUUGUGACUGAGCGGGCGGACGGGUGAGUAACGCGUGGGUAACCUGCCUCGUACAGGGGGAUAACAGUUAGAAAUGACUGCUAAUACCGCAUAAGACCACAGCACCGCAUGGUGCGGGGGUAAAAACUCCGGUGGUAUGAGAUGUACCCGCG